rnacentral:rRNA from 1 species
CUACGGGUUGCUGCAGUAGGGAAUAUUGGACAAUGGGCGAAAGCCUGAUCCAGCAACGCCGCGUGCGCGAUGACGGCCUUCGGGUUGUAAAGCGCUUUUAGAGGAGAUGAGAAAGGACAGUAUCCUCUGAAUAAGCCUCGGCGAACUACGUGCCAGCAGCCGCGGUAAAACGUAGGAGGCUAGCGUUAUCCGGAUUUAUUGGGCGUAAAGCGCGUGCAGGCGGUCUAGCAAGUUGGAUGUGAAAGCUCCUGGCUUAACUGGGAGAGGUCGUUCAAUACUGCUAGACUAGAGAAUGGGAGAGGGAGGUGGAAUUCCGGGUGUAGUGGUGAAAUGCGUAGAUAUCCGGAGGAACACCAGUGGCGAAAGCGGCCUCCUGGACCACUUCUGACGCUAAGACGCGAAAGCUAGGGUAGCAAACGGGAUUAGAUACCCUCGUAGUC